rnacentral:rRNA from 1 species
AUGCUUCUUCUCGAGCCUUACCACUUGGUCGCUCUGCUCCUGCUCCUGGUCGCUCCGGGCCGCUGCCUCGCGGCCACCGGCGGCGAUGACGGUCGGCAGUUCGUCUACAACGGCUUCACGGGCGCGAACCUGACGCUCGACGGCACGAGCAGAGUUAUGCCUAACGGCCUCCUCGUGCUGACCGAUGGCAGAAAGGUGAAAGGCCAUGGCGUCCACCCGUUCCCGCUGCCAUUCCGCACCGCAUCGAAUGCCACCGGCUCCGUGCGGCCUUUCUCGAGCACCUUCGUCUUCGCCAUCUCCAGUCAAGACGACGACGUCAGCAGCGACGGCAUCGCCUUCUUCGUGGCCGCGUCUAAGGAGGUGCUCUCCACUGCGUCGCCAGGCCAGUUCCUGGGCCUACUCAACGAAGACAAUAUUAGCAACCGGAGUGCCCACAUCUUCGCCGUGGAGCUAGACACGUUCAAAGAUGACGAGCUCCGUGACAUCAACGACAACCAUGUGGGCGUCGACGUUGAUAGCCUCGUGUUGAUCGAUUCCGCCAACGCCGGGUACUAUGAUGAUGGCACCGGGAUGUUCCAGAACCUAAGUCUGAUAAGCCAGAAGCCCAUGCAGGUGUGGGUGGACUACGACAGCAGGGCCACGGAGAUCACCCUGACCAUGGCUCCGUUGGGCGUGGCCAGGCCCAAGAAGCCCCUCCUGCGGACCACCGUCGACCUCUCGGGGGUGGUGCAGAACACCGCGUACGUCGGGUUCUCUUCGGCAACGAACUUCAUUCGAACACGACAUGUCAUUCUCGGCUGGAGCUUUGCGUUGGAUGCGCCGGCCCCUGCACUGAACAUCUCAAUGUUGCCGGCCUUGCCAUCGACCUCGAACUACAAGACACGGUCCAAAUUGCCAAUGAUGAUCGCCUUAGCAUUAUCGGUGACGCUGGUUUCGAUAAGCAUCCUAAUUUAUAUACUAGUAGAAAGAAGGCGCAGCGGCACGCCACGCCCGUGGUUGAGCCACUGUGUACGUGUGUAA